AUUGAACGCUGGCGGCAGGCCUAACACAUGCAAGUCGAACGGUAGCACAGAGAGCUUGCUCUCGGGUGACGAGUGGCGGACGGGUGAGUAAUGUCUGGGAAACUGCCCGAUGGAGGGGGAUAACUACUGGAAACGGUAGCUAAUACCGCAUAACGUCGCAAGACCAAAGUGGGGGGCCUUCGGGCCUCACACCAUCGGAUGUGCCCAGAUGGGAUUAGCUAGUAGGUGGGGUAAUGGCUCACCUAGGCGACGAUCCCUAGCUGGUCUGAGAGGAUGACCAGCCACACUGGAACUGGGACACGGGCCAGACUCCUACGGGAGGCAGCAGUGGGGAAUAUUGCACAAUGGGCGCAAGCCUGAUGCAGCCAUGCCGCGUGUAUGAAGAAGGCCUUCGGGUUGUAAAGUACUUUCAGCGGGGAGGAAGGCGGUGAAGUUAAUAGCUUCACCGAUUGGCGUUACCCGCAGAAGAAGCACCGGCUAACUCCGUGCCAGCCGCCGCUGUAAAAC
rnacentral:rRNA from 1 species